CACACUGUCUCCACCCUUCUUUUUUUAGAGAAUAAUGCUAAAGUUAUUACAAUAUGUAUUUCUUAUUGUGUGCAUUUUUGUUUCUUUGUUUGUUUUAGUCUCUGUAAUGUUUUCAUUUUUGAUACAGUGUGGUUAACCUCCCCGUGGUUCUUGAAUGGAUGGAAUCAAUCUAUUUAGGGUCUAAGGUGUAUAUGAUCAUUGAACAUUUACUGAGCACAGGACAGCUCCCUGCAUGACAUGGCCAAACACUGUAUCUAUUAGAAUGGGUGAAUUUAAGUUAACCACACAAGGGAUGAAUAAAAGUUAUCUUUUAACAGAAGCAAGGUGCAAUGGAAUUACCGGGGACCAUACCAUCUUCUCUCAGUUUGAUAGUCAGAGUUGUAGUCAGGCUGUAGCUAAAUCUGCUUUAGAUACAGACAGGAGAUGAUCAUGUGUCUUUGUCAUGGCUGGCUGCAGGUGAUGAGAGCAGCUGAAGUAUGGCAGGUUUUCAGUUCGGAGUACACCGAAGACAAUGACAUUCAAUAUUAUGGUUGGCUGAGAGCAAAUGUGUCAGGGACCCUUCUGUGGUGGCCAGGGAUGUCCCCCAUGGUAUUCACCUCUUACAUGAGGAAGUAGGUCCUCUCCAGCAUCCCUCUUCUUUCUCCAGCGGUUUUCACGCAGGGCAAGGGUGCGUCGACGUCAUGACGCUAAUGAUGUCACAUCUCGCCGAAACGUUCGGAUUUGAAUGUUUUGGGGGCAUGGCUACCAUCCUAACGAGCCACAUUGCCCCGUUGUGGUUCAUGUUUGUCCCCUAUAGUGCUUUAUCUGUAUUUUUUAUUCUAGCUUUUUACUUCGGCUCUGUUUUUGAAUACUCUUCAUUCUAUACUUCUUUGACCCGGCUUUAGCAUUCUCGUUUAUCCUGAUCUCUGUACUCCUUGACCUGGGCUUGAAUUUGACUACUCCUUGUUCUUAUAUGUUAGCCCGGCCAUUCUAAGGUCCAGUAUAUGUUACCUUUUGUCUACAUUCUGCGUGUUGGAUCCAAUUCUAUUACUGACAAGAUGUUCUUUUCAGUCCUAGUUGAACUCAGGUGCUGAAUGGGAAAUAAAGAAAGUGCUAUUUAUUAAAUAUCUUUUAUCUCUUGUACAUAUCUAGGAUGCAGGCACUGAAUUAGUUAAAUGUGAGACAGUUUCUCAUUUAACCUUCCUCUGGCAUCACUAUUUCUGACAUAAUUAUUUC
rnacentral:lncRNA from 1 species